CCUACGGGAUGCAGCAGUGGGGAAUAUUGCGCAAUGGGCGAAAGCCUGACGCAGCGACGCCGCGUGAGGGAUGAAGGUCUUCGGAUCGUAAACCUCUGUCAGCAGGGAAGAACGGUCACUGUGCUAAUCAGCAGUGAAUUGACGGUACCUGCAAAGGAAGCACCGGCUAACUCCGUGCCAGCAGCCGCGGGAAUACGGAGGGGGCGAGCGUUAAUCGGAAUUACUGGGCGUAAAGCGCUCGUAGGCGGUAUGUCAAGUCAAGGGUGAAAUCCCCGCGCUCAACGUGGGAACUGCCUUUGAAACUGGCAGACUGGAGUGUGUGAGAGGAUAGUGGAAUUCCAGGGGUAGGAGUGAAAUCCGUAGAUAUCUGGAGGAACAUCAGUGGCGAAGGCGACUAUCUGGCACAUAACUGACGCUGAGGAGCGAAAGCGUGGGUAGCAAACAGGAUUAGAUACCCGGGUAGUC
rnacentral:rRNA from 1 species